rnacentral:misc_RNA from 1 species
GGAAGGAUCAUUAUUUGGUGGAUUUGAUGUUGGGGAGAUGGGUAGGACUAGGGCUAGGGCUAGGGCUAGGGUGUGCUUGCACGCACUAGUUCUAGUUCUAGUUCUAGUUCUGUCUGUCUGUCUUUCACAACAAUUUGUUCGGUGCAGCAAUGCAUCGUUACACAUGCGUUUAAUCUAUAUGUCAGAGUAAACUAUAUGCAAACUAUACAACUUUUAACAAUGGAUCUCUAGGCUCUUGCAACGAUGAAGAACGCAGUUAAAUGCGAUAAUUAGUGCGAUUUGCAUGAAUCUGUGAGUCAUCUAGUAUUUGAACGCAACUUGCGCCUCUUGGAGGCAUGACUGUUUGAGUGCAAGAAACAAAUGUGUGAAUUAAUAUAGCACAAGUUGGCCGUGUCACGCGUGACGCGUGAUUUGUCACAUGUCGUCUGACCCGGCUUGAAAAAAGCAAGAAAAGGAAAUAGAGUUUCCAUGUGAGCUAGAGGCAUUGGUCUUGUCACAUGGAUCCCUCCUAACAUCCAAUUAAUCUCUUUACUCUACGCCUCAAAUCAGUCAAGACUACCCGCUGAACUUAAGCAUAUCAGUAAGCGGAGGAAAAGAAACUAACAAGGAUUCCCCCAGUAACGGCGAGUGAAGUGGGAAGAGCUCAAAGUUAAAAUCUCGACGAGCAAUCGUUGCGAAUUGUAAACUAAAGAGGGGUGUUGCAGAGUUGGAGGUUGGUCAAGUCCAUUGGAACAUGGCACCAGAGAGGGUGAGAGUCCCGUCAACCAACGGAAAAUUCAAAUCACAUUCACUCUACGAGUCGAGUUGUUUGGGAAUGCAGCUCAAAGCGGGUGGUAAAUCUCAUCCAAGGCUAAAUAUUGGCAAGAGACCGAUAGCGAACAAGUACCAUGAGGGAAAGAUGAAAAGCACCUUGAAAAGGGAGUUAAAAAGUACGUGAAAUUGUUAAAAGGGAAACGAUCGGGGUCAGUAUUUGGGGAUUGUUUAAUGCAGGGUCUUGAUCCAGCAAGCGACGCUCUUCAGAGUCAACGCCAGUUGCAGUGGGUGGAUCAAGUGUCGAGAAAGGUGGCGAGAUUCGUCUCGUCUUUAGGCUUGGCAUGUUGCAUCGACAGCGACUGGAUAUGGUUGGAAAGGGUUUGGUUGAUUGUUCGAGAGGAUUUGAGAGACAGCAUGCUGACUCUUAAUCCGACUUGGCCAUGACAUUAGACACAACCCAACACAUUUUGACGAAAUGGCCUUGAACGACCCGUCUUGAAACACGGACCAAGGAGUCUAACAAUGGAGCGAGUAUUCGAGUGGAAAACUCGUAUGCACAGUGAAAGCAAUAUUUGUGAGCAAGUCUCUUGCGCAACAAAGUCUGGCGUUAUGAUAGAUCAUGACGACCAGAACAGCUCCAGUGUUGGGACCCGAAAGGCGGUGAACUAUGCCUGACUAGGGCAAAGCCAGAGGAAACUCUGGUGGAGGCUCGCAGCCGUUCUGACGUGCAAAUCGAUGGUCAAAGUUGGGUAUAGGGGCGAAAGACUAAUCGAACCGCCUAGUAGCUGGUUCCCUC